rnacentral:rRNA from 1 species
AUUCCUACGGGAGGCAGCAGUAGGGAAUCUUCCGCAAUGGACGAAAGUCUGACGGAGCAACGCCGCGUGAGCGAAGAAGGCCUUCGGGUCGUAAAGCUCUGUUGUUAGGGAAGAACAAGUAACGCAGUAACUGGCGUUACCGUGACGGUACCUAACGAGAAAGCCACGGCUAACUACGUGCCAGCAGCCGCGGUAAUACGUAGGUGGCAAGCGUUGUCCGGAAUUAUCGGGCGUAAAGCGCGCGCAGGCGGUUCCUUAAGUCUGAUGUGAAAGCCCACGGCUCAACCGUGGAGGGUCAUUGGAAACUGGGGGACUUGAGUGCAGAAGAGGAGAGUGGAAUUCCACGUGUAGCGGUGAAGUGCGUAGAGAUGUGGAGGAACACCAGUGGCGAAGGCGGCUCUCUGGUCUGUAACUGACGCUGAGGCGCGAAAGCGUGGGGAGCAAACAGGAUUAGAUACCCUGGUAGUCCACGCCGUAAACGAUGAGUGCUAAGUGUUAGAGGGUAUCCACCCUUUAGUGCUGUAGCUAACGCAUUAAGCACUCCGCCUGGGGAGUACGCUCGCAAGAGUGAAACUCAAAGGAAUUGACAAU